rnacentral:rRNA from 1 species
AAGCUCGUAGUUGAAUUUCGGGGUUAGUAGGUUGGUCAUGCCUCUGGUAUGUACUGGUCUCACUGAUUCCUCCUUCCUUAUGAACCGUAAUGCCAUUAAUUUGGUGUUGCGGGGAAUUUGGACUGUUACUUUGAAAAAAACUUAGAGUGUUUAAAGCAAGCUAACGCUUGAAUACAUUAGCAUGGAAUAAUGAAAUAGGACGUUCGAUCUUAUUUUGUUGGUUUCUAGGAUUGACGUAAUGAUUAAUAGGGAUAGUUGGG